CAGGCCUAACACAUGCAAGUCGAGGGGUAACAGGAGAGAGCUUGCUUUCAUGCUGACGACCGGCGCACGGGUGCGUAACGCGUAUGCAACCUACCUUCUACAGGGGGAUAGCUCAGAGAAAUUUGAAAUAAUACCCCAUACGAUCAAUGAUUGGCAUCGAUUAUUGAAGAAAACUCCGGUGGUAGAAGAUGGGCAUGCGUCCUAUUAGUUAGUUGGUGAGGUAACGGCUCACCAAGACGUCGAUAGGUAGGGGCCCUGAGAGGGGGAUCCCCCACACUGGUACUGAGACACGGACCAGACUCCUACGGGAGGCAGCAGUGAGGAAUAUUGGACAAUGGAGGCAACUCUGAUCCAGCCAUGCCGCGUGCAGGAAGACUGCCCUAUGGGUUGUAAACUGCUUUUAUACAGGAAGAAACCUACUUACGUGUAAGUAGCUGACGGUACUGUAAGAAUAAGGAUCGGCUAACUCCGUGCCAGCAGCCGCGGUAAUACGGAGGAUCCAAGCGUUAUCCGGAAUCAUUGGGUUUAAAGGGUCCGUAGGUGGUUAAUUAAGUCAGGGGUGAAAGCCAGCAGCUCAACUGUUGAACUGCCUUUGAUACUGAUUAACUUGAGUUAUUGUGAAGUAGUUAGAAUAUGUAGUGUAGCGGUG
rnacentral:rRNA from 1 species